UCAGAGCUGUUGUCUUUUGUGAUACACUUUCAAAGAGUCAGGUUGUUUGGGAAUGCAGCCUAAAUUGGGUGGUAAAUCUCACCUAAAGCUAAAUAUUGGCAAAAGACCGAUAGCGAACAAGUACCGUGAGGGAAAGAUGAAAAGAACUUUGAAAAGAGAGUUAAACAGUAUGUGAAAUUGUUAAAAGGGAACCGUUUGGAGCCAGACUGGCUUGAUUGUAAUCAAUCUAGAUUUCGAUCUGGAUGCACUUGCAGUCUAUGCCUGCCAACGACAAUUCAUUCUGGAGGAAAAAACUAGGAGGAAUGUGGCCCCUCGGGGUGUUAUAGCCUCUUAGAAAAUACUCUGGGUUGGAUUGAGGAACGCAGUGGAUGCUAUUUGGCGAAGUUGCUGAGUGCUUUUACUGGUACGUGCUAGAAUUUCUGCUUCGGGUGGUGCUAGUAUUUACCGGUGAAACUCGCUUGGUAAUCUUUUUAUCCGCUUAGGUUGUUGGCU
rnacentral:rRNA from 1 species